UACGUAGGGUCCGAGCGUUGUCCGGAAUUACUGGGCGUAAAGGGCUCGUAGGCGGUCUGUCGCGUCGGGAGUGAAAACUCAGGGCUUAACCCUGAGCCUGCUUCCGAUACGGGCAGACUAGAGGUAUGCAGGGGAGAACGGAAUUCCUGGUGUAGCGGUGAAAUGCGCAGAUAUCAGGAGGAACACCGGUGGCGAAGGCGGUUCUCUGGGCAUUACCUGACGCUGAGGAGCGAAAGUGUGGGGAGCGAACAGG
rnacentral:rRNA from 1 species